UGCAGAAGCCAGGAAAGUUCCCCGCAAUAGUGGGACCAUUCCCCCGCUUACACUUACAUCACCAAGUGCUCGAACUUGCAGGACAAACUCUUUCCAUUUCACUCUAGCAGAUAGUUCCACAGGAUGGGGCUUCAUUGUUCUAUAAUUUCUCUUAAAAACCCCACCCACCAGGAAUCUCUAUACAAAAUCUAUACAACCGGGAGCACUCCAACCCAGGAAAUACACAGGCAGCCUGAACUCUGUGUCCUUGUGCAUAUGCAUUGCAAAGCAGGGCUGAAUUACAAGGUCACAUGCUGCUUUUUCUGCAGGGCUGGAUGGAGAAUGUCUCGCUCGCUGUGGAGAUCGGAUGGCGUGCAGUGAACACACAUUGAAUGUGUGGAUAUAAAUACAUAUCAAACAGCUGCUCCAUUCACUGCACUCCAUCCAAUUGUGCUUUAACAAGACAGGAUCCUGUAAUUUUCACUCCAUGCAUCUGAAGAAGUGGGUUUUUUACCCAUGAAAUCUUAUGCCCAAAUAAAUCUGUUAGUCUUUAAGGUGCCACCGGACUCCUCGUUUUUUUUUUUCUUACAGAAAAACAAUGUUAUGCAAUUAGCGACUGCAUCAUAACACAUACCAGCAAGCAGCUUGCACCUGAGGACAUAAUCAGGCAGUAUGAUUACAUCCAUGAAAACAGGAUCCCAAGCAAGCUUGGUUGGAAAUGCUGCAAGAGAACAUUGAAUCAGUGCUUCUAUAUCCUGAGAAAUUUCCCAAAAUCUGGGAAUUUUUGAGUAAAAUGUUUCAACUUGGGAAAUUGGGAAUUUUCAUUCAAAACCUAAAUCAUCCUGGGAAAAUUUCAUAAAAAGUAAAAGACUUUCCAAAUCUCAAAAAUCCUGGGAAGUUUUCAUAAAAAGUAAAAUAUUUGUGCGUCUUUUAAAUUUCCCCCCAAAUGCGUUCUUCGAUUGGUGAAUAUCUGUCACGAUUUUCAUAAUCAGGCUGUGCUGCUCUCCUAUUGGUGGUGCUUCAACGUACUAUAUCAUGAUGGCACAAGUGAAGUGACCAGUGUGCACAUGCACUCACAACAAACCAACCUCAGCAACAGCUGGCUGGCGGGUAAUGAGGAGAUGGUUACCAAAUUUAUCUUCUAGAGAUCUAAUGUAAAAAAUGAAUCAAGAGACUGGUAAGGCUGGUGAGAAGAGGAAGAGGACUGCAGGAGUAGACAAAGAUCCAUCCACGUUGAAACGAAAACAAUGGGAUAGCACUCCCGACAGAGUAUUGAAGACUUGGAUGAACUUCCACCAAAAGAGAAGCCAUCUACUUUCAAAAAAGCCUUUCAAUACUUGUGGCUUCAAGAAGAUUAUGAACAAACAGGAAAAUGAAGGUGAAGAUGACUG